rnacentral:rRNA from 1 species
CCUACGGAUGGCUGCAGUGAGGAAUAUUGGUCAAUGGGCGAGAGCCUGAACCAGCCAAGUAGCGUGAAGGAUGACUGCCCUAGGGGUUGUAAACUUCUUUUAUAAAGGAAUAAAACGAGGCACGUGUGCCUUUUUGCAUGUACUUUAUGAAUAAGGAUCGGCUAACUCCGUGCCAGCAGCCGCGGUAAUACGGAGGAUCCGAGCGUUAUCCGGAUUUAUUGGGUUUAAAGGGAGCGUAGAUGGGUUGUUAAGUCAGUUGUGAAAGUUUGCGGCUCAACCGUAAAAUUGCAAUUGAUACUGGCAGACUAGAGUACAGUUGAGGUAGGCGGAAUUCGUGGUGUAGCGGUGAAAUGCUUAGAUAUCACGAAGAACACCGAUUGCGAAGGCAGCUUACUAAACUGUGACUGACAUUGAUGCUCGAAAGUGUGGGGAUCAAACAGGAUUAGAUACCCUAGUAGUC